rnacentral:rRNA from 1 species
UACGUAGGGUGCAAGCGUUGUCCGGAAUUAUUGGGCGUAAAGAGCUCGUAGGCGGUUUGUCGCGUCUGCUGUGAAAACUCAGGGCUUAACCCUGAGCCUGCAGUGGGUACGGGCAGACUAGAGUGUGGUAGGGGAGAUCGGAAUUCCUGGUGUAGCGGUGAAAUGCGCAGAUAUCAGGAAGAACACCCGUGGCUAAGGCGGCUCUCUAGUACGGUACAGACGCUGAGACGCGAAAGCGUGGGGAGCGAACAGG